rnacentral:lncRNA from 1 species
AAUGCAACACAUCAAGGUCACACAGCCGGCAAGAGCUGAAAGGGACUUUGAGCCCAGGUUAAUAGACUCCAAAGCCAGUGCUCUUCACCCGCCAGCCCUGACUCUGCUGAGGUUUUCCUCUCCACCUCAGCUGACUGCAGCCCUGCUGGGUGUGUCUCCUACUGUGCUUUAAUCUCUCCACCUCCCCCGCUCCCUGGGGAGGUUCAGGGUGAUGGAAUUCCCUCCCCGGAGGCUGGAUGCAUCCUCAGGGCCCCCAAUGUCCACUGCUGUGACAUUUACGGAUGCAUAGCUCCCUUCCUGGAGCCAAAGAGCACUCAUUGUCUGGUCACAGGAAAAACACACCACGUGUCCCCCGACACUCAAAGAUGAGUCCUUGACUGCCUGGACGUGCUCCAGGUGUACCCAUGGACUUUGGUUGAACUGACCACACCUUGUCUCUUGGCCAGAGGUAAAUUCUAGGGCCAUCUCUCUGCAUAGUGACCGGGUCCAGCUGCAGGGCGGGAGUGGCAGCUCCUGGGAAGUGGGGUCCAGGGUCCUGACCGGGAAUCCGUGGUCGCUGCCCUGGAGGCUGCCGUAGGUUGAGGGCGUGUGAGCCCUGGGAUGGCUGGGGGAGUCUGAGGCGUGGUCGCACCACCUCCGCUAGCUGCUGCCUGCAGCCGGAGCCGCAGGCCCCCAUGUGGAACAUGAGUGUCUCCUUCAGAAGGAAGCUCACAACGCAGCAGUGUCACCAGCUGGAAAGGGCCCCAGAACCAAACUCCAUUUUCAAAACAGCCCAAGUAGAAGUCUGUUUUUCCACCUCACACCACUGCCCCCCCAUUGCCCCCACCCCGGAUUCAAACAUCAUGAUGGCCCUGGAGAGUGAAUCCUGUCCAGCCCUCAAGGCCAGCUCAUGUGCUGCCUCCUCAGUGAAGCUUUCGGCCGUUGAUGGGGAAGUGAGUUCAUCUGGCCAGUGUGCUUUCCCACACUCCUUUGGGCUCCUCUGGAGAAAUCUCUCGUCGCUUGUGGUCCUAGUAGUGCUGUCAGUCACAGCUCUGCCCCUGCCACAUGGUGGGCGUAUGACUCAGGCUGACCAAUCACAGGGUCCAACGCCCCCAGCCACAGAGAUUGCUUCAGGGAUGGGCAUGUGACUCAAAUAGGACAAAUCAGACUCUUCCCUGGGAUUGGUG